CUCACCGUUCCUCGGCUUCCCGGGUGUCCCGGCGUCAGCUAGGGAUGUCCCAACACCCGCAGGUCACAGGGUGGCCGAGGCUGCUGCAGAGCCACCGGGGCUCCCAGAGCCAGGAAGUAGCAGCGGAGACUCACAGGAAGAGCCUACGGUGGCGAAGGCGAGACAAAGCGCCCGCCAGCCGGAUCCCGGAAGCCGCCCUCUCCUUUCCGGCGGCACGCCUGAUUGACGGGCCCCCACCCCAGUGUUCCUGAUUGUCUGGGGCUUCAGGCCCCGCCCCCUCAGGCCCUGAGUGACAGGAGAUUGCGAUCUCACGUGAGGCUGGAUGUGGCCAGAAUGACCGUUUUGGCCUAGCGGUUUAUAGGGGGGAGACAGGAGACAUCAAUCAACAUAUGUAAGAUGAACACUGGUUUGAUCCGGUACAACCUGAAGCAAAAGUGGGUCAACUCGAAGCCAGGAGGGGGCUUCCAGGUCACAGAUUAGAAGAUAAUUCUGAAACAAAUGCCAGCCACUCUUUAAUUACAAAAAUGACGGAUGGACUGUAUCAUCAUGUGCCUGAGAAUCAUUGUGUUUUAAAGGACUUGGAUCAUCUUCCUACUGAGACGUGGCCCCAGCUGCUCCGUGAGCUCUGCAGCACACCCUUUCCUACCCUCUUCUGCCCCAGGAUUGUGCUGGAAGUGCUUCUUGUGCUCCAAAGCAUCGGCAAGCAGUGUCACCACGUGUCUGGCCAGGUCACCAUUGCCUCGGAGCUGAGACACAGGCAGUGGGUGGAGAGGACGCUGCGGUCUCGCCAGCGGCAGAACUACCUGCGUAUAUGGAGUAGGUGUGCGCUCACUUUC